rnacentral:lncRNA from 10 species
GGCGGCAGAUUGUAGUUUUUGUUUUGGCCGGAAAGGCUUACCAUGAGUUGCCAGGGCUGAGAGAGAUGGAGAAGGAUUCGCGGCGGUGACAGAUUAAAUUCCCCAGUUACAUUAUAGACUUGGAGACUUGUCCUUGUGUGGACGGGAGCCGGAAAGCCUUGAGAACUUAUUCCUCGACCCGGACAUGGCACAGGAGAAAAUGAAACUAGGUUUCAAGUCGCUGCCGAGUUCCACUACCGCAGACGGCAACAUUCUGAGAAGAGUCAACAGUGCCCCUUUGAUCAAUGGACUUGGACGGAGUCUCACUGUGUCGCCCAGGCUGGAGUGCAGUGGCAUGAUCUCGGCUCACUGCAACCUCUGCCUCCCGGGUUCAAGCGAUUCUCCUGCCUCAGACUCCCGAGUAGCUGGGACUUCAGGCACCCGCCACCACGCCCACCUAAUUUUUUGUAUUUUUAGUAGAGACGGGGUUUCACCGUGUUAGCCAGGAUGGUCUUGAUCUCCUGACCUUGUGAUCCGCCCACCUUGGCCUCCCAAAGUGUUGGGAUUACAGGCGUGAGCCACUGCGCCUGGCCUAAAUCUUACUUCUUAAACUAGACUUUUAAAAUGAGAUGUUGGAUUUCACAUUUCAGUAUUAUAAGGUUUUCUAGAUACCGUAAAAAUGUCUG